rnacentral:rRNA from 1 species
CCUACGGGUGGCAGCAGUGAGGAAUAUUGGUCAAUGGGCGCGAGCCUGAACCAGCCAAGUAGCGUGAAGGAUGACUGCCCUACGGGUUGUAAACUUCUUUUAUAAAGGAAUAAGGUGAGGCACGUGUGCCUUUUUGUAUGUACUUUAUGAAUAAGGAUCGGUUAACUACGUGCCAGCAGCCGCGGUAAUACGGAUGACACGAGCGUUAUCCGGAUUUAUUGGGUUUAAAGGGAGCGUAGAUGGGUUUUUAAGUGAGUUGUGAAAGUUUGCGGCUCAACCGUAAAAUUGCAAUUGAUACUGGCAGCCUUGAGUACAUUUGAGGUAGGCGGAAUUCGUGGUGUAGCGGUGAAAUGCUGAGAUAUCACGAAGAACUCCGAUUGCGAAGGCAGCUUACUAAACUGCCACUGACAUUGAUGCUCGAAAGUGUGGGUAUCAAACAGGAUUAGAUACCCUGGUAGUC